GAUGAACGCUGACGGCGUGCCUAAUACAUGCCAGUCGAGCGAACGGACGAGAAGCUUGCUUCUCUGAUGUUAGCGGCGGACGGGUGAGUAACACGUGGAUAACCUACCUAUAAGACUGGGAUAACUUCGGGAAACCGGAGCUAAUACCGGAUAAUAUUUUGAACCACAUGGUUCAAAAGUGAAAGACGGUCUUGCUGUCACUUAUAGAUGGAUCCGCGCUGCAUUAGCUAGUUGGUAAGGUAACGGCUUACCAAGGCAACGAUGCAUAGCCGACCUGAGAGGGUGAUCGGCCACACUGGAACUGAGACACGGUCCAGACUCCUACGGGAGGCAGCAGUAGGGAAUCUUCCGCAAUGGGCGAAAGCCUGACGGAGCAACGCCGCGUGAGUGAUGAAGGUCUUCGGAUCGUAAAACUCUGUUAUUAGGGAAGAACAUAUGUGUAAGUAACUGUGCACAUCUUGACGGUACCUAAUCAGAAAGCCACGGCUAACUACGUG
rnacentral:rRNA from 1 species